CUAAAUAGCCAGGCCGGCUUUGGCGGGUCGCCGGCUUCUUAGAGGGACUAUCGGCUCAAGCCGAUGGAAGUUUGAGGCAAUAACAGGUUUGUGAUGCCCUUAGAUGUUUUGGGCCGCACGCGCGGUACACUGACAGAGCCAACGAGUUCAUCACCUUGGCCGGAAGGCCUGGGUAAUCUUGUGAAACUCUGUCGUGCUGGGGAUAGAGCAUUGCAAUUAUUGCUCUUCAACGAGGAAUGCCUAGUAAGCGCGAAGUCAUCAGCUAUGCGUUGAUUACGUCCCUGCCGUACACCGGCGUAC
rnacentral:rRNA from 1 species